UGGGGAAUAUUGGACAAUGGGCGGAAGCCUGCUCCAGCAAUGCCGCGUGUGUGAAGAAGGCCUGAGGGUUGUAAAGCACUUUCAGCGGGGAGAAAGAGCUCGUUGCUAAUAUCAACGAAGGAUGAUGUUACCCGCAGAAGAAGCACCGGCUAACUCUGUGCCAGCAGCCGCGGUAAUACAGAGGGUGCGAGCGUUAAUCGGAAUUACUGGGCGUAAAGGGUGCGUAGGUGGUUUAGUAAGUUAGAUGUGAAAUUCCUGGGCUUAACCUGGGGACUGCGUCUGAUACUGCUAGGCUAGAGUACUGUAGAGGGAAGUGGAAUUUCCGGUGUAGCAGUGAAAUGCGUAGAUAUCGGAAGGAACAUCAGUGGCGAAGGCGACUUCCUGGACAGAUACUGACACUGAGGCACGAAAGCGUGGGGAGCAAACAGG
rnacentral:rRNA from 1 species